GUCGAUUUAAACGGCCAAAUCCGAAAUCUUUCGAAUUCUUUGCCCCCAUCUUUGCUUCUUGCUUCGCGGACAUCCUCCUUUUUUUAACUCCUUUCUCCUUUCUUCUCCUUGCCCUUUUCUCCGUUUCUCCUUUCCGUUGCCUGCUGUGUAUUGUCUAGAAUCGUUUGCUGUCGUCGUUAAUUGUCAUUGCUGCGAAGUUUUCCCAGGUCUGCACCUUUUGAGCCUUUUUUCCCACGUACUAACCGCACCGCACCGAUAAACCCGAUAAGUUCAACGGUUCCUCAGCCUAUCUAAGCGCCAAAAGUACAAAAAGAAGUCUCGUCGCUCCGUAUGCAAUGGUACACAUUACAUCCCUACUAUUAUCCCGCCGCAUCGAACAGCACAUCAUGUAUUAACCUACUGUGCGAUGGGUCAGAUUCACCCCGCUCCUUAUAACCUAACCUGUUAGGCUUUAAGGCUCUCAACGCCAUCAUUUACCCAUCCGUCCGUCAACAGUGACAGGUCGUGAAAAUCACCAUUAUGAAUCUACGUGGAAAUCCAUCUAAAACAACGGAAACAUCCUUAUGAAAAUAUUGACCAAUCACCUUCCUAUUUGUCUACUUUUGGUUGAUCCCCAAACUUCCGACGAAGACCUUCAAGCCUGAUCCGUUCAUCAUCUUCCAAAUCAUUCUCAUCUCUAUUGGCAAGGGCCUCAUAUACAGUCCAUUCGUGAUGGAGGUGCGUGGAGACUCUGCCUAAUGGUGCUCCAUUAGUAGACCGGCUAGCAAUGGCAGAAUGUUGACUCCUUUUGCUUUGACUCCUUCCUAAACCGCCAGUUUGUUCGGCAGGCUGGACGUCCUGCGAUUCAUCUCCUUCAGGUCGGCUACGCGCGGGAUAGAUGACCUCCUUGCCCUCAGCCCUAGCCUCCUCGUCUUCCUGCUUGGACUGAGCCAUCCUAGCAGCCAUGAUCAUCGCCAUCUGUCGCUCAGCAUCCGCAG
rnacentral:sRNA from 1 species